AUGUCCGACUCUAAGGUGGUGGACGCCCAGGCAGGUUAUGAAAGCGCCAACACGGCCAUGGUUGUUGCCCUAUCGGGCUGCAACUACAUCCAUGAUGCUU
rfam:Firmicutes bacterium ML8_F2 scaffold_32, whole genome shotgun sequence.